AUGUGAAAUAUGCGUGUGUGCAUUUUUGAAAAGAAUUUCAUUUCAUUCCUUCUUUUCUCUCCACGAGAGCCUUCAAGCUUCUCAUUCUCAUCUUCGUCACCGUUUCUCACCGUAACCUCGUCGUCGUCGUCUUUUCUCACCGUAACCUUGUCACCGUGUCACCGUUUCUAUGAUCUUCUCAUUCUCAUCGUCGUCACCGUUUCUCACAAUCUCUUCACCGUCACCGUUUCUCAUCGUCGUCACCGUUUCUCACAAUCUCUUCACCGUCACCGUUUCUCAUCGUCGUCACCGUUUCUCAGAACCCUCUAAUCUUCUUUCACGAACCCUUCAAAGUUCAAACCCUUUCCCGUUUAGAAAUUUGAAUGUCACCGAAACCCUAACUUUCUCAUUAGUCCCUUUUCCCCCAAAUUGCACGAGCACUGAAUCUCACAUCUUGUUCAAUUAAUCUAUGAAGGGAGCUAUCAUUUGCACUUCCAUAAGAAAGACCCUCAUUUUACCAACUGUGUGAGGGUUCUAUUUAUUCCUUCGAUUUUAUGAGUGUUGCUUCUGCUAGAGAGGUUGUUACAGGACUGCCAAGUACAAUUGUGAACUUAAUUUUCAGUUUGCAACUAAGGCAAGAGAAAAUUAGGAGGAAGAGGCAUAGUAAGCUGUUAGCAAGACUUAUGUCCCAUGUACGACAGUUCCGUCACUCCUGCACAAAGGCUCUGUUGUUCCUGCACGAUUGCUACUUCCCCGUAUGAUUUGUCAUUGAUGGAAACAAAAUUGAAAAGUGGAAUAACACUCUCAUUGUUGACCGUUAUUCUUAUUCUGGGUGGCCUUCUCAUCUGCUAAGGGACAAAUUUCCAGGAGGUCUUUUAUUCUAGCUCAGUCUAGAAUUCACAUAAUUUAUUAUGUUCUCUUUCUGUUAGUAAAUUGUGGAUUGCUUGCUCCAAAUCUUCUAUGUGGCCAAUAAAUAGUGGUUUUUUGGGUUAGGUUGAGACAUGAUUUCAAUGUUGCUUAUUUUCAUGCCGGAAAAGGUUUUUAUUCUGUAAAACGAUGCUUAUUUUCUAUAAUGUUUAUCUGCUCCCUUUUCUAUGUUCCAUGUUGGGUUGCGAUAUAAAAUUUUGAAUUAAAUAGGGAGUGCGGCAUUGGUUUACAAACGUUAGAUGUGUUACUUUUCUUCAGGAAGGUGGUUCAAGUCCUAAUACAUAAAUGAUUUUAGCUCUCUUGCUUCUAGAGUUCAUCUAUCUUGAACUUCUGACUUUUUUUCACUAUAUUGAUGGGUUACAUUGUUUGAGCCUGGUUAAUGCAUGUUUCCCUGUUUUGCUUAUUUAUAUUCUUUUCACAUUCAUAUCAGAAAGCUAUAGAAAGAUGAGGGUUUAUUGAUGAAAGAUAUGAAAAGCUUGAGUUUCAGAAGAAAGUUACCGAACAUUACAAGAUCCUUCAGAAUGCCUCCUGGAAGGUAAUGAACUGUUUUUCUGGCCUCAGGAACAUUACAAAGACCCAUUUCUUCAUUUAUUAUUUAUUCAAGAACAUUCAAUCUUCAGCUUGAAAAAGAGACAACCUAUGGCAUAUAAGGAUGCUUGCAUUGUGAUCAAUGGAGGAAACCAUAAUGAGGUUGUAUCUGAUAAAAUUCAGUAGGUGUUGGCAUAAUAGCACUAGAUGUAUGUGUUAUCAUUCUUGAUCAUUCAAUAAGAUUCAAUCUUUUGCUUGAUAAAUACAAAAGCGUUUGUUGCUGAGCAUAGCAGUGUUCAGGUUCAGCAUGCUAAUAAGGUGGUUAAUUGCCAAGGUUCAACAGUGAUUUGGAGAUCGAAAUCUCAUGGAACUGUUCUUGGAGGACUGUAACUGAAGUUGAAAUCAUGUUGUUGGGUAAAGGGAAGGUUCAUCAUUCAGAUGCGGCUUCAUGCACGAAUCAGAACAACCUUUUGAAAAUGAAAAGUCAGAUCAAGAGGUAUAUUAUUCCCAUCUCAGUUUCUUAUGUUUUGAUUUCAUGAAUGGAUGUAUCAAUUUUCCUAGUUUAUAUAUUUUGGAACUUUCAAUCCAAUAUAUUUUCAUCGAUACAAGUUGAGAUACAAAUUUUAAAUUUAGUCAAGAACAUUCAUUAUGUGACGAAAUCAUUUUUCAUUAUCUGAAAAAGGGUGGAGUAUAUUGCCCUAGUAACCCUAUAUUUGACCAUUGGAAUCGAUGAAUAUACUAUGUUUUAUAAAUGUUGUAACUGAUGGAUCAUAGAUGCCUCAAUGACUAUAGAGUAAAAUUUUGGAUGAACUUAAUGACCCCAUUCCCUAAAUGUGAAAGCUAGUUGUUGCCUUAAUUGCUACUCAAGUAAUUGUCCCUACCAGUGUCCGCUUUUCUAUAAAAAAAUUAUGAAUUUUUAUUCAUAAUAUUGAAUGAAUGAGUAUAUAUUCUGCUUUGAUGAUCCGUAGUCCCUAAAUUCAAUCGUCUGCUUGAAAAAAGGUACAACUUCUGCUUAAGGGAAGAAAAAAAAAACCUUAAUUGUGCAAAGGUAUAACUUUACCCAUUUUUCUCAUUCUUGAUCAUUCAUAAUAAUGCAUGAAUGGGUAUACAUUCUGCUUUGAUGACCCUUAGUCCCUAAAUUCAAUUCUAUAAUCGCUUAUGAACAACAUUCAAUCUUCUGCUUCAUAAAAACAAAACAAAAGAUAUUGGGCAAAGGUGUUCUUUCUGUCCCAUGACCCUUUUGUUUGUUUGGUACCAAUAACUUUUUCGUUUGGUAUGGUAAAUUUUGGAAUUUUCAUUUCACUAUAUUUGCAUUCAUGAAUCAUACAUAUUGAGAUACCCAUUUUUUCAUUUUCUUUGUCAAGAACAUUCAAUCUGCUGCUUGAAAAAUGGUACAACUUUACCCCAUUUUUCUCAUUCUCGAUCAUUCAAAAACAUUCAAUCUUCUGCUUGAGAAAAACAAAAUGAACCUUAAUUAUGCAAAACGUGUUCUAUCCCAAGAUCAUGUUUGGUAGCAAUAUUUAAAAAAGAACAGUUUUUUGUUACAAUAAUGCAGUUUCGCCCAUUUUUGGAAUUUUCAUUCCAACAUAUUUGCCCCAUCUAGUUUAUAAUCAAUAACUGUUGGGAACGAUGAUGGACGUCGAUAAAAACUUUUAAUCUUCUGCUUCGAUAAAAAGUGAUGUGAUGUCUUGAUGCCCAAAAAAUGUUGGAUAAAUAACUUAAUGACCCUAGGCCUGAAUGUUUAAUCUAGUUGUUGCCUUAAUUGCUACUUAAGCAAUUGUUGCUAUCGGUGUCUGCUUUUCUAUUAAAAAAAAUUAUGAAUUUUUAUUCAUAAUAAUGCAUGAGUGACUAUAUAUUCUGCUUUGAUGACCCUUA